ACAACGCCGAAGAUGUUUUGGCGGAUUUGAGAGAAGAUUUUCAGCUUCGAUUCAGAUUAGUCGAUGCGUCCGCAGGACGUGUUGAUAAAACAGAAUUUGCCUGGCGGCACUAGCGCGGUGGUCCCACCUGACCCCAUGCCGAACUCAGAAGUGAAACGCCGUAGCGCCGAUGGUAGUGUGGGGUCUCCCCAUGUGAGAGUAGGGAACUGCCAGGCAUCAAAUUGCAGUAAGCCGGGGUGACAACCGGUGGUAAUAAAGCGAAAAAUUCGGUGGAGCGGUAGUUCAGUCGGUUAGAAUACCUGCCUGUCACGCAGGGGGUCGCGGGUUCGAGUCCCGUCCGUAAUACCAAGGCGCUUGAGAGAACUCGGGUGAAGGAACUAGGCAAAAUGGUGCCGUAACUUCGGGAGAAGGCACGCUGGUGUGUAGGUGAAGUCCCUGCGGAUGGAGCUGAGACCAGUCGAAGAUACCAGCUGGCUGCAACUGUUUAUUAAAAACACAGCACUGUGCAAACACGAAAGUGGACGUAUACGGUGUGACGCCUGCCCGGUGCCGGAAGGUUAAUUGAUGGGGUUAUCCGUAAGGAGAAGCUCUUGAUCGAAGCCCCGGUAAACGGCGGCCGUAACUAUAACGGUCCUAAGGUAGCGAAAUUCCUUGUCGGGUAAGUUCCGACCUGCACGAAUGGCGUAAUGAUGGCCAGGCUGUCUCCACCCGAGACUCAGUGAAAUUGAACUCGCUGUGAAGAUGCAGUGUACCCGCGGCAAGACGGAAAGACCCCGUGAACCUUUACUAUAGCUUGACACUGAACAUUGAGCCUUGAUGUGUAGGAUAGGUGGGAGGCUUUGAAGCGUGGACGCCAGUCUGCGUGGAGCCAACCUUGAAAUACCACCCUUUAAUGUUUGAUGUUCUAACGUAGGCCCCUUAUCGGGGUUGCGGACAGUGUCUGGUGGGUAGUUUGACUGGGGCGGUCUCCUCCCAAAGCGUAACGGAGGAGCACGAAGGUUAGCUAAUCCUGGUCGGACAUCAGGAGGUUAGUGCAAUGGCAUAAGCUAGCUUGACUGCGAGCGUGACGGCGCGAGCAGGUGCGAAAGCAGGUCAUAGUGAUCCGGUGGUUCUGAAUGGAAGGGCCAUCGCUCAACGGAUAAAAGGUACUCCGGGGAUAACAGGCUGAUACCGCCCAAGAGUUCAUAUCGACGGCGGUGUUUGGCACCUCGAUGUCGGCUCAUCACAUCCUGGGGCUGAAGUAGGUCCCAAGGGUAUGGCUGUUCGCCAUUUAAAGUGGUACGCGAGCUGGGUUUAGAACGUCGUGAGACAGUUCGGUCCCUAUCUGCCGUGGGCGCUGGAGAAUUGAGGGGGGCUGCUCCUAGUACGAGAGGACCGGAGUGGACGCAUCACUGGUGUUCGGGUUGUCAUGCCAAUGGCACUGCCCGGUAGCUAAAUGCGGAAGAGAUAAGUGCUGAAAGCAUCUAAGCACGAAACUUGCCCCGAGAUGAGUUCUCCCUGAGACUUUAAGUCUCCUGAAGGAACGUUGAAGACGACGACGUUGAUAGGCCGGGUGUGUAAGCGCAGCGAUGCGUUGAGCUAACCGGUACUAAUGAACCGUGAGGCUUAACCUU
rnacentral:rRNA from 1 species